AAAAAAAAAAAUUGUACGGUGUUGGAAAGUUUGCCUGCGUUUUCCGCUAGGGGCGCUGUUCCAACUCCAUACAAAAUUGAGUUG
rnacentral:pre_miRNA from 1 species